GCAGGACGUGACCUUGCAGUGGCCAAUUCACACCUGCCAACUGUUUGGAAGAAGAUUGCAGACAGCACCAGGUGUGCUGUUUUCGACAGAUUUUAUUGCUGGGUGUGUCGCGGGUGUAUUUUUGGAGGCAUGAUAGCCCACAGUGGCGAUUCUGUAUCAGAGUGGCCUGGGGCUUCCUUAACAGAAGGCGUUUUCCUCCUUUAAGGGUUAUCAGAAGACAGCCCCACUCUAUGUGAAGGUUUCCCCUAUUUGAAAGCCUCUCCGUUCCAAGCCAUAAGGAAGGAGAGCAGGAAGAACUAUUAACCGUCACCACCUAGGCUGCAGACUGAGCGAGCAGGCAAGUUUGCUGCUAUGGCAAAAGGAGCAAAUCUAUUCACUGGUCCCACUUCUUUUUGAACUGCAACCAUUUAACACACAGCUGUGCUCCACAUUAACUGAGCUAAAUAAAUUCCUGGGCAGCAUUAUAGCGCCUGAUCUGCACACCCGGAUUUAUUUUUUAGAGGUAAGCUCCCCUUGAUCAUGAAAUAACUGCCGCCCCCAAAAAAGACCGCUCACAUUGAGAGCUGCAUCCUCUGUCCAGGUUCCCUUUUGCUUCCUGGGCAAUUCACUCCCUAAAGCAGGCAUCCCCAAACUGCCCUGUUUUGGCCUACAACUCCCAUGAUCCCUAGCUAAGAGGACCAGUGGUCAGGGAUGAUGGGAAUUGUAGUCCAAAACAUCUGGAGGGCCGAAGUUUGGGGAUGCCUGCCCUAAAGCCUUAGCUGUGUGGCGCUGCAGCGCCACCGCCACCUUAGGCCAGAGGGGGUACUGCAGCUUUCAUCCCAACAGGGACCAGGUGACCUCAGGAGCAAUCUGGUCUUCUGCAGCUGUCAACUCCAGCCUAACUCCUCAUUCUGAGCAGCUUGUUGCUCUGUCCACUGAAGCCAGCUUGCCCGACUAUAUCACCCUCGGUGGCCCUGGGUUGCAAAACGCUCUUUGCGCUGCAGAAGCCUUUGCACACAAGGGUAUCAGCAGCAGCGAGGGCUGUGGAUAAGGAUUUGUUUGCCCAGAGCUUUGCCGCCACAGAGAAAGUGCUUUCUUGGUAGGUUUGCAGGUGCAAAUAUGAUCCGGCAUGUGGUGGUGAGCUCCGAUGGGAGUCUUGUGCGAAGCCGCUGCCUGCCAGCAGCGCUAUCGGCCCCCAAAUAUGUUCACAGCCGGCUGGCUUUAAAUCAGUAGCACUGCUGCAGAAUGUGCGCAUCUCCCGAGAUUAGCUGCCUUGGAACAUGCAUUUUAAAUCGCCCCACUGACACAGAUAGCAUUGCCAUGGUAAUUAAUGCUAACACUGUGAGGAACGGCACAUUUAAGGUGGCGGUGGGGAGAUUUCCUAUUUUAGAUUCCCUGCUCUUCGGGGGGAUGGCUGAUUUGCUCUCCAUCGACAUGUCACAUGUCACAUUUCACAGCAUCACUGAAGGCUGUAUCAGCAUGAGGAUUCCAGCAACUUCGCUUGGAAAUGAGAACAGGUAAUGCAAUUUAAUUUGUCAGAAUCAUGCACCAUUCCAGAACACUUUUGCUUUCAUCGCUCUUUAUUUUUCUUUUAUUUAUUAGACAGCUCUUGCCUCUGAAUCAGAUUAUCAAAGUGGCUAACAAAUUAAGAUUUUUUUUUUUAAAAAAAGACAUGAUUUAAGACAACAUCGAACCGAUAUACAAAACAACACGAUAAAUAGCCUCUUAAAGCGAUCUCCAGCUUCUGCGAUUGCACGAGGGCUCACAGACUUCCAAGCCUUUCUACGCAGUCUUGCUGAUGAAAAUAAUAGCUGCAGUUACCGAGGCCAUUUACAACAGAAUUUAAAGCAGUAGCAGCAGCAGCAGCAGCAGCAGCAACGUUAAAAACGCCAUGACCAAAUAUUAAAAUGAUGAUUAGAAGUAAAUUUAGACAGUGAUACGGACCAAUUCUAAAAAGAGCAGCAGGAUCAGAAAACUAGAUCCCAUGAGAACAGAGGUGGUUAAUCUUUGGGCCUCCAAGCAUGGCCAAAGGGCAGGGAUAAAUCUGGAAGCCAGAGGUUCCCACACCUGCUUUAGAAGUCCGAGGUAACAGAAAUAUUCAAUGUGAAUCAAAUUCUCAAAUAGGCUUACCAAUUAAGGUUUUAAAAAGAUACAAUAAAACAACAAAUCAGUACACAACAGUAUCACCACAGCAGAUGAUAGGGAAGAAGCCCCCCCUGCCCGAGACACCGGAGGAUCACUACCAAUCAGAGUUUGCAGCUUUGGGUUGGAUGGGCAGAUCGUCGCUGAUGCUGGAAGUUGCUUUGAGCCGUGUUCUGCUUUUUCACCAUUUUAUGCUGUGUACUGAUUUGGUUUUUUUACUAAUUAAGCUGGCAGAGCAGCCAGAGAGAAGCCAGUGCAACUUACAAUCAAGUUUGAGGACACAAUACACGUGCCAGGAGAGGCUCCUCUGUAGCAGACUUGGGGGGACCUUCUUGGUCCAAAGGCCAGAUUUUAUCUCUCCCAUGCCUGUGGGCCAACUUUGAUAGGUGGGAGGGAACACAUGCCUGUCACAUACCUGCCAAGUUGCUGUCAGAGAAAUAAG